AGUGAACGCUGGCGACGUGCUUAACACAUGCAAGUCGAACGAGAACGGAUUAUAGCUUGCUAUAAUUGUCAGCUAAGUGGCGCACGGGUGAGUAAUGUAUAGGUAAUAUGCCUCUUACUAAGGGAUAACAAAUGGAAACGUUUGCUAAUACCUUAUACUCCUUAUUAACAGAAGUUAAUAAGGGAAAGAUUUAUUGGUAAGAGAUUAGCCUGUAUUGUAUCAGUUAGUUGGUGGGGUAAUGGCUUACCAAGACUAUGACACAUAACUGGUUUGAGAGGAUGAUCAGUCACACUGGAACUGAGACACGGUCCAGACUCCUACGGGAGGCAGCAGUGGGAAAUAUUGCACAAUUGACGAAAGUCUGAUGCAGCAACGCCGCGUGGAGGAUGACACAUUUCGGUGCGUAAACUCCUUUUAUAUGAGAAGAUAAUGACGGUAUUAUAUGAAUAAGCACCGGCUAACUCCGUGCCAGCAGCCGCCGUAA
rnacentral:rRNA from 1 species